GUGAGGAAUUUUCCGCAAUGGGCGAAAGCCUGACGGAGCAAUGCCGCGUGAAGGAUGAAGGCCUAUGGGUUGUAAACUUCUUUUCUCAGAAAAGAAUUAUGACGGUAUCUGAGGAAUAAGCAUCGGCUAACUCUGUGCCAGCAGCCGCGGUAAGACAGAGGAUGCAAGCGUUAUCCAGAAUGAUUGGGCGUAAAGCGUCUGUAGGUUGUUUAAAAAGUAUUCUGUCAAAGAUUAGGGCUUAACCCUAGAUAGGCAGAAUAAACUUUUAAGCUAGAGUUUGGUAGAGGCAGAGGGAAUUCCCGGUGGAGCGGUGAAAUGCGUAGAUAUCGGGAGGAACACCAAAGGCGAAGGCACUCUGCUGGGCCAAUACUAACACUGAGAGACGAAAGCGAGGGGAGCAAAUGGGAUUAGAAACCCCUGUAGUCC
rnacentral:rRNA from 1 species